rnacentral:rRNA from 1 species
GAUGAACGCUAGCGGCAGGCUUAACACAUGCAAGUCGAGGGGUAUAGUUCUUCGGAACUAGAGACCGGCGCACGGGUGCGUAACGCGUAUGCAAUCUGCCUUUUGCAGAGGGAUAGCCCAGAGAAAUUUGGAUUAAUACCUCAUAGUAUGUGAGAAUGGCAUCAUUUUUACAUUAAAGUCACAACGGCAAAAGAUGAGCAUGCGUCCCAUGAGCUAGUUGGUAAGGUAACGGCUUACCAAGGCAACGAUGGGUAGGGGUCCUGAGAGGGAGAUCCCCCACACUGGUACUGAGACACGGACCAGACUCCUACGGGAGGCAGCAGUGAGGAAUAUUGGACAAUGGGCGCAAGCCUGAUCCAGCCAUGCCGCGUGCAGGAUGACGGUCCUAUGGAUUGUAAACUGCUUUUGUACAGGAAGAAACACUGGUUCGUGAACCAGCUUGACGGUACUGUAAGAAUAAGGAUCGGCUAACUCCGUGCCAGCCGCCGCCGUAAUAC